CAUCAACAAGUUAGACUUCUUCGCCAGAAGGUCACGGGUGAAUGUUUUUUUUUUUUUUUUUUUUAACCAUUGGAUUCAGGAAUACAAUGUCUCUGAGGUUUUUAUUAAAGCACUUGGGAAUAGUGUUUCUGAUACUUCUUAUGGCCAGUUUGCAAACAAAAGCCAAAACACUAAGAAAAAGAACCAUCAGUGAAGUGCAGCUUAUGCAUAAUGUCCAAGAACACAAAC